AUUGAAUUAAGCCCUGUGAUGAUGUCCUAAUGAAUUUGAGUGGUGCCGCUUGGUUGUUUCUAGCCGAGACUCAUCAUCUCCA
rnacentral:snoRNA from 11 species